UGGGGAAUUUUGGACAAUGGGCGCAAGCCUGAUCCAGCAAUGCCGCGUGAGUGAAGAAGGCCUUCGGGUUGUAAAGCUCUUUUGUCAGGGAAGAAACGGCCUCAGCUAAUAUCUGGGGCUAAUGACGGUACCUGAAGAAUAAGCACCGGCUAACUACGUGCCAGCAGCCGCGGUAAUACGUAGGGUGCAAGCGUUAAUCGGAAUUACUGGGCGUAAAGCGUGCGCAGGCGGUUUUGUAAGUCUGUCGUGAAAGCCCCGGGCUCAACCUGGGAAUUGCGAUGGAGACUGCAAGGCUUGAAUCUGGCAGAGGGGGGUAGAAUUCCACGUGUAGCAGUGAAAUGCGUAGAGAUGUGGAGGAACACCGAUGGCGAAGGCAGCCCCCUGGGUCAAGAUUGACGCUCAUGCACGAAAGCGUGGGGAGCAAACAGGAUUAGAUACCCAAGUAGUCCCUGAGCGGGCUGGCAAGGCGCAU
rnacentral:rRNA from 1 species